AAAUUCCAAAAACGAGAACCAUUUCUCUUUCAACUAAAAGAGCCACAACGCGCACAAGCACACAACAUAGAUAGGAAAACGGGGACGGGAACAAAGCAGAAACAAAGGGGAAAGGAACGGGCUUGUAAACACCUUAAACGCGACGUAAAAAUGACUGAAGACCACCCCUAAACUAUCCAAAACACCCAAAUACAGUCAGUGUUAAGUGAG
rnacentral:lncRNA from 1 species